UUGAACGCUGGCGGCAUGCUUUACACAUGCAAGUCGAACGGUAACAGGGUGCUUGCACCGCUGACGAGUGGCGAACGGGUGUGUAAUGCAUCGGAAUGUACCGUGUAAUGGGGGAUAGCUCGGCGAAAGCCGGAUUAAUACCGCAUACGCCCUGAGGGGGAAAGUGGGGGACCGAAAGGCCUCACGUUAUACGAGCAGCCGAUGUCUGAUUAGCUAGUUGGUGAGGUAAAGGCUCACCAAGGCGUCGAUCAGUAGCGGGUCUGAGAGGAUGAUCCGCCACACUGGGACUGAGACACGGCCCAGACUCCUACGGGAGGCAGCAGUGGGGAAUUUUGGACAAUGGGCGCAAGCCUGAUCCAGCCAUGCCGCGUGUCUGAAGAAGGCCUUCGGGUUGUAAAGGACUUUUGUCCGGGAGCAAAUCCUAGUGGUUAAUACCUACUGGGGCUGAGAGUACCGGAAGAAUAAGCACCGGCUAACUACGUG
rnacentral:rRNA from 1 species